ensembl:lncRNA
UAAACCAGGACUAAACCAGGACUAAACCAGGUCUAAACCAGGUCUAAACCAGGACUAAACCAGGUCUAAACCAGGACUAAACCAGGACUAAACCAGGUCUAAACCAGGACUAGACCAGGACUAGACCAGGACUAGACCAGGACUAAACCAGGACUAAACCAGGUCUAAACCAGGACUAAACCAGGUCUAAACCAGGACUAAACCAGGACUAAACCAGGUCUAAACCAGGACUAGACCAGGACUAGAUCAGGACUAGACCAGGUCUAAACCAGGACUAAACCAGGACUAGACCAGGACUAGACCAGGUCUAAACCAGGACUAAACCAGGUCUAAACCAGGUCUAAACCAGGUCUAAACCAGGACUAAACCAGGACUAAACCAGGUCUAAACCAGUUCUAAACCAGGACUAAACCAGGACUAAACCAGGACUAAACUGGGUCUAAACCAGGACUGAACAAGGACUAAACAAGGACUAAAUCAGGACUAAACCAGGACUAAACCAGGUCUAAACCAGGACUAAACCAGGACUAAACCAGGACUAAACCAGGACUAAACCAGGACUAAA